GACGAACGCUGGCGGCGUGCUUAACACAUGCAAGUCGAACGGAAAGGCCCUGCUUUUGUGGGGUGCUCGAGUGGCGAACGGGUGAGUAACACGUGAGUAACCUGCCCUUGACUUUGGGAUAACUUCAGGAAACUGGGGCUAAUACCGGAUAGGAGCUCCUGCUGCAUGGUGGGGGUUGGAAAGUUUCGGCGGUUGGGGAUGGACUCGCGGCUUAUCAGCUUGUUGGUGGGGUAGUGGCUUACCAAGGCUUUGACGGGUAGCCGGCCUGAGAGGGUGACCGGCCACAUUGGGACUGAGAUACGGCCCAGACUCCUACGGGAGGCAGCAGUGGGGAAUAUUGCACAAUGGGCGGAAGCCUGAUGCAGCAACGCCGCGUGCGGGAUGACGGCCUUCGGGUUGUAAACCGCUUUCGCCUGUGACGAAGCGUGAGUGACGGUAAUGGGUAAAGAAGCACCGGCUAACUACGUGCCAGCAGCCGCGGUGAUACGUAGGGUGCGAGCGUUGUCCGGAUUUAUUGGGCGUAAAGGGCUCGUAGGUGGUUGAUCGCGUCGGAAGUGUAAUCUUGGGGCUUAACCCUGAGCGUGCUUUCGAUACGGGUUGACUUGAGGAAGGUAGGGGAGAAUGGAAUUCCUGGUGGAGCGGUGGAAUGCGCAGAUAUCAGGAGGAACACCAGUGGCGAAGGCGGUUCUCUGGGCCUUUCCUGACGCUGAGGAGCGAAAGCGUGGGGAGCGAACAGGCUUAGAUGCCCUGGUAGUCCACGCUGUAAACGGUGGGUACUAGGUGUGGGGUCCAUUCCACGGGUUCCGUGCCGUAGCUAACGCUUUAAGUACCCCGCCUGGGGAGUACGGCCGCAAGGCUAAAACUCAAAGGAAUUGACGAGGCCCCGCACAAGCGGCGGAGCAUGCGGAUUAAUUCGAUGCAACGCGUAGAACCUUACCUGGGUUUGACAUGGAUCGGGAGUGCUCAGAGAUGGGUGUGCCUCUUUUGGGGUCGGUUCACAGGUGGUGCAUGGCUGUCGCCAGCUCGUGUCGUGAGAUGUUGGGUUAAGUCCCGCAACGAGCGCAACCCUUGUUCACUGUUGCCAGCACGUUAUGGUGGGGACUCAGUGGAGACCGCCGGGGUCAACUCGGAGGAAGGUGGGGAUGACGUCAAGUCAUCAUGCCCCUUAUGUCCAGGGCUUCACGCAUGCUACAAUGGCUGGUACAGAGAGUGGCGAGCCUGUGAGGGUGAGCGAAUCUCGGAAAGCCGGUCUCAGUUCGGAUUGGGGUCUGCAACUCGACCUCAUGAAGUCGGAGUCGCUAGUAAUCGCAGAUCAGCAACGCUGCGGUGAAUACGUUCCCGGGGAA
rnacentral:rRNA from 1 species